rnacentral:antisense_RNA from 1 species
CUUGAUCGAGCCCAGGUACAGCGGCCGCCCCUCGGGCCGGUCCUGGCCGUAGGUGUCCAGCAGCGCCUGCGCCUC